rnacentral:rRNA from 1 species
CCUACGGGAGGCAGCAGUGAGGAAUAUUGGUCAAUGGGCGAGAGUCUGAACCAGCCAAGUCGCGUGAAGGAUGACGGCCCUACGGGUUGUAAACUUCUUUUGUCAGGGAGCACUUGAGUCCACGUGUGGUCUUAGCGAGAUUACCUGAAGAAAAAGCAUCGGCUAACUCCGUGCCAGCACCGCCGGUAAUACGGGGGGUGGGAGCGUUUUCCGGUUUUAUGGGUUUUAAGGGGUGCGUAGUCGGUGAUUUAAGCCGGCGGUCAAAUGUCGGGGUUAAACCCCAGCCUGCCGUCGGAACUGGGUGCCUUGAGUGGACGAGAAGUAGGCGGAAUGCGUGGUGUAGCGGUGAAAUGCAUAGAUAUCACGCAGAACCCCGAUUGCGAAGGCAGCAUACCGGCGCCCUACUGACGCUGAGGCACGAAAGUGCGGGUAUCGAACAGGAUUAGAUACCCCAGUAGUC